rnacentral:rRNA from 1 species
UACGUAGGUGGCAAGCGUUGUCCGGAAUUACUGGGCGUAAAGCGCACGCAGGUGGCUGAGUCAGUCGAUUGUGAAAGCCCUGGGCUUAACCUGGGAAUUGCAGUCGAUACUACUCAGCUAGAGUAUGGGAGAGGGUAGUGGAAUUCCCGGUGUAGCGGUGAAAUGCGUAGAUAUCGGGAGGAACAUCAGUGGCGAAGGCGGCUACCUGGCCCAAUACUGACACUCAGGUGCGACAGCGUGGGGAGCAAACAGG